GUGAGGCAGCAAUGUAGAGUUCUAGGCAUAUUGCUCGUAACUCUCAUUUUAGCAAAGCAAAAAUCAUUAUAAGAAAAGGAGGGGAUUGCUGAGGACCACAUGCCUACGCUUGCUUAUUUAAUUCCUUCUUUUUUUCCCAUGCAUACGUCAAUUCUGCUGCUCAAACUCAUGACGCAAUACAACACCGCAUGGGACUUCCCCACGCUUAACAACAUGCAGAUAUAUAUAUUAUGUUUUUACUUUCUUUUUUUUGCAAAAAAUGGUACCUAGACACUAAUCGUUUUAGUGAUAUAAAGAACAAUACGAUGUGUUUUCUUUGUUAUUACCACCAUCAU
rnacentral:lncRNA from 1 species